rnacentral:antisense_RNA from 1 species
GGAUGGAUCAACGCCGCCAAGUGAGAGAAACCAAUCAGCUUCAUUUUCAACUUCUUCUAUGACUCCAGAGGAUUCACUUUGCAUCUUGUGACAAAUGAAGAUAUUACCUGGAAAAAAAAAAAAGACAGGAUAGAUGAGUUGCUGCACAGGGGGAAAGCGAAGUUCCCAGGAGUAAGAUGUGCAAGAAGGAGGCAGUCUUGCAUCUCAGGGCUGAUUCCCUAAACUCUGUGCUUGAGGGAAGUUCUCCCCUUGCAGACACACUGCUGAGUGACAAGGAAGCGCCUAGACUCCACUCUGACCAGACUUGGUUCUGAGGCCUAUGAAAUGUUGAUGGGAAGAACAGAAGCAGGAAAAUCUAUCUAUUCAAAUUUGCAAGAGGUGGAAACUUUUAUUCACCUUCCUGGAUAGACUGUUCCUUUGUCAAAGUAAAGCUAAGGCCAUGGAAAAUGAGCUAUUUGAGAGUCUGUCGCUCCAAGGAAGAACAUGCUGGCCUAAUUGUCCCCCAAGUCAGGAGAGAGAAUUGUAAAAAGCACUUAAACAGGCCUAAGUAAAAGUCCAGCACAUUAUUCAUUUAAGACUGAAUUAGGACUGAGUCAUUCCAACUGAAAAAAGAGUGUUGUUGGAUUCUUAUAUAUUCGAUGGGUCUGCCCUAUUGAAAACCAUUGUGAAGUCUGGUUUCCCAAGCAAGAAGUGACACUUUCACUGUCAGUCUUUCUAGGAAUCUGGCAGAAUCCAGGACUAGGAUUACCCUUAUUUAUGAAGCGACCUUAGACUAACAGUGGCUCUCUGGGCCUGCAGACAAUUGGCCAGGGACUCUAAAAACCAGAAACAAAGUUGAGAGAACUCCAGGCUGGUGGAGAAAAACAGCUGGCGUUUAUUACCACAAUGAGCCCCAUAGAAGCAACAAAGCAGCAAGCGAUGUUCUUAAACAAGGGCCUGUGGGCCUUGUCAAGAUCUGGAGGAGUCAUCUACAACUCACUGCUGAGUGAGAGGGCUAGGCAGUGUCUUUAAGGUCCUGCCAGCUUUAACACUGUAUGCUUUUUCUUUUGUUCAAUCUCUCACCACAACUGGAAGUGUUGCCUCAACUACACAGGAAAAGUUUGCAGUAACUUAGAGAAAACAUUAUUUUAAUCACCAGUGUAUGUUCUCCGGCUCCCUGGACAAAUCCAUCAGCAGCGGCAACACUGACCAGGUCCAGACUGGGGCCACUGCAGUGGAUGUGAAUCCAUUGAAACCAGGGGUCUCCAGUGCUCCUGA